UACGUAGGGUGCGAGCGUUAAUCGGAAUUACUGGGCGUAAAGCGUGCGCAGGCGGUUCGCUGUGUCCGAUGUGAAAGCCCCGGGCUUAACCUGGGAAUGGCAUUGGAAACUGGCGGGCUUGAGUGCGGCAGAGGGGGGUGGAAUUCCGCGUGUAGCAGUGAAAUGCGUAGAGAUGCGGAGGAACACCGAUGGCGAAGGCAGCCCCCUGGGUCGACACUGACGCUCAGGCACGAAAGCGUGGGGAUCAAACAGG
rnacentral:rRNA from 1 species